AAAAAACAACCGCAAAAGCCUCUUGCUGAUUAUUUACCGUCUGCUCAACAUCAUUCCAACCCCUUUUUUUUUUUACAAGUUGUAGAAUUUAAAGUUGAAGACCAUGUUCCUUUGAGACAGCCCUUCAUCUGACUUGACCCAUUCUUGUAGCCCCCUGUCCUACCACAGGCACACAUUAAAAACCCCUCUCACCAACAUUCAUUAGGGAUUUUUAGGGCAGUAGCGCACGGGUACUCUAUGCUCCUCUGGUCUUACAGUAUCUCUCCUCCCGAAAGCUCCUCCCUUUCUUCUCCACCUGGGAAAGCUCAGAGACAUCACUGAAGUGCCUCCGACACCAGGAAGCCAUCUGCAGCUCCCAGAGGUCUCAUCCUUCCCCCUCUGAACCUCCUGCCUUCAAACAUCUGUCUGUCUACCUCCCUGCCAGGUAGACCUGGAGUUCUCCGAGGCCAUAUUCUAUCUCAUUUAUUUCUGAGUGCCUCUCAGCAAUUUAAUACUGCCCAGUGGGUGGUGGGGGCAUGUUGUUGAGUGGAUGAAGGAACGAACGAAACUUAUUUAUUUGUUCUCUACCAAGGAGUGAUUCUCAGAAUGGAAUCUACCAGAGAAAACAUAGAUAGGUAGAGUGGACAGAGUUCUGCCAAGGACACAGUGCCCAACUUUUACUCACCGUGCUGUGGUUCUCUAAUGGGCUUUUCUUUCAAUACCUGGUGUGUUGAGCAUCAAAGGAGGUAGAAUCUUUUCUUCGUGAGAUUGGGUGUUGGCUGUUCUUGGUGAUGUGCACAUAGGUAGAUGUGCACAUAGGUAGAUGUGCACAAAGGUAGAGUAGAGAGAACCAUCACCCCUUAAAUAUCGUCUCUCUCACCUUCGUCGUUUGUAUUAUAUAGAAAAUGACUUGCAAACAGAGCAGGCCUUCUGCCUAAAGCUUAACACAAGAGCAAAUGAGCCACCUGGAUUCAGGAUGUCUGCUAAAGGAAGGGCAGACGCAUAGAACCGCUGCCACUUGAAACCCGAAUUAUCCAGUCUCCAACAGCGUCUGGCUGGAGGAAACAAGACAUUGGACCAAGAAGUAUAGCAACAAGAAGCUACCCCACGUCCUGAGGUGCAGGCCUGCAGUAACUAAGGGUCAGGUGAUACUUGAUGAAGCUUGUGAAAGCUGCCCCCCCACCCCACCCCACCCCCUUUCCUUUUUAACUUAAGGAAAGUGGGCUCAAAUAAUAAGCACUUAAUGGAAAGUCUGUCUCAUUCAAAAGUCAGUUAAAAAAAAAGAAAACUUCAGGAAUGAUAAUUUAAUCAUCAAGUAAACAGAGCCAAUCAGACAAAACCAGUUUAUUCUAUGGUCUUAUCGAUCAGUUCAGCUCCUUCGGCUUCCUGACAAAUUGCUUGUCAGUCAGUGCAAAGUAACCAGAGACACAUGUCUCUCUGACCUUGUUUAUAGUGAGGCAGUAAGCUGUUGCACCAGACCAGCCUUUCAAACAGGUUCUGAUGCUAAAGAUCACUCUUUAUUUUAAGCUAUUUUAUAUUGGAAGAAAGAGAAAGAUUGACAGUAAAAGAAAAGGAA